rnacentral:rRNA from 1 species
UGGCGGCCGUAGCGCGGUGGUCCCACCUGACCCCAUGCCGAACUCAGAAGUGAAACGCCGUAGCGCCGAUGGUAGUGUGGG